GGGCUUAUAGCGCAGUGGUAGCGCGCACGCUUUGCAUUGCAUGAUCAUGAUUGCGUAGCCAGCUGUGUGAGGUCCGGGGUUCAAUCCCCCGUGAGUCCA